AGCUCGGCUCCUCCAGCAGCAUCUGUGACAUCAGCAGUGCACCUGAACAGCAACAGCACCUUCCAGGACCUCAUUCUGCUGCCCAAGUGCCUCUGUGAGCAUCUAUUCCCAGGGUAUUCCUUGUGUAGGAAACAGGGAAAAAGCAGAUGAAAAAAACAGUUGUAACUUCUUCUGUAAACACAGAGCUCGGAUGUUUGAACAGCUUCCAUCCAUCACUCAUGGAGAUCUCUCCUGGACUUGUGUCCAGAACUGCAGAGCACUUAAGGAGAGGAGCUGGCAACAUGGACAGUGUUUGAUGAUAAAAAAUGUAAUAACAACUUUAGGAGAGGAAAGACAGAAGCACAUAAGGAAAGUUCUAAUAAACUUGGAAUUUCUGGGUAUUUUAUUCAUUAAUAUAGAACCUUCUUGCCCAUUUGUAGAUAAGGAUCUUGAUGUUUUAAAGGAAGAGGAAAAUAUAUUUAUUAUGCAUGGAAAAUAAGAAAAAUCUAAAACUUACUUUUUCUUUCUGCGUGAGAAAGCAUGAUUGCUCUUGUUUUCAGAAACAGUUUUUAAAAUUUUAGUAACAUUUUUCCCUCACAAACAAAGCUGGUUAUCAGAUGCCCUGACCAAAACAUGUUUUCCCAACAAGUUUUUUUAAACCAAUAUUUUUUUUUAAUUGCAUUUUUGAAAUGUAUUUACUCAGAUUGUUUCAGUGUUUUAAAAUAUCCAGGCUGAGAUUCCAGCUUUGGUUUACAUCAAAUUUGAAAUCUUUAUAUUUGCCAUAUUUUCAACUCCUAAAAAAAAAAAAAAAAAAAAAAAAAAAAAAAAAGUAAAAUAAAUGUUUAUUAAAAUUUGUUUUCAGCUAGAAAUGAAUGAAGCUUCAUUAAAUUCAGGGGAGCUAGACCCACUUACAUUAGCAGAAAAUAGGGUCCUUUUUUCUCUCUUCUUUUCAAUAAUUUCUCCAAUGCUAUUUUUAUCAGUCCUAGGGGGAGGUGGAAAGUAGGGUGGAAAACAGUUACAGCCAUUUUAUCACAUUUUACUCCUAACAAUGCAGUCCAAAUGAAAAGGAACCCUAAUGCUCUGCAGAAUAAUACAUUAAUCAUCAGCAGGCGUCAUUCAGUGCAGGCCGUGCUUUCCACACCAAGGCAAACAGGAGCAGAGCCCCUCGCAGAGGCACAAAUCCCUUAUCUAAUCUCACCUAGGCUGAGCACAGCACGGCUUGUGGUGUUUGUCAGCCCAGGGAUGGGGCAAACGGAGAGAUUUAGCAAAGGUUUCACCCCUCAAGGGCUGGGAAUUACAGGGGUUACAGGCCCGUCCACACAGAAUAUUUCUGCUCACUGACAAAUUGGUUUUCCUUGAGAAAACAUCAUUCAUUUCAC